CCAGAGGUGCCAUCUGGAGGGACAUCCAGGAGGGCACGGGGGAGAAGGCCGACCUGGGCGAGGUGAAUUUCUCCCUCUGUUACCUGCCCACGGCCGGGCGCCUCACGGUCACCGUCAUCCGCGCCUCCAACCUGCGCGCCAUGGACCUCACCGGCUACUCAGACCCCUACGUGAAGGCCUCGCUGAUGGCCGAGGGCCGGCGGCUGAAGAAGCGCAAGACGUCCAUCAAGAAGAACACGCUGAACCCCAACUACAACGAGGCGCUGGUGUUCGACGUGCCCCACGAGAGCGUGCACCACGUCAGCCUCACCAUCGCCGUCGUCGACUA